rnacentral:rRNA from 1 species
CAGCCGCCGCGGUAAUACGUAGGUGGCAAGCGUUGUCCGGAAUUACUGGGCGUAAAGCGUGCGCAGGCGGUUGUGUAAGACAGGUGUGAAAUCCCCGGGCUUAACCUGGGAACUGCGCUUGUGACUGCACAGCUAGAGUAUGGCAGAGGGGGGUGGAAUUCCACGUGUAGCAGUGAAAUGCGUAGAGAUGUGGAGGAACACCGAUGGCGAAGGCAGCCCCCUGGGCCAAUACUGACGCUCAUGCACGAAAGCGUGGGGAGCAAACAGGAUUAGAUACCCCGGUAGUCCCUGUCUCUUAUAC